GGGUCCGCACAAGCGGUGGAGCAUGUGGUUUAAUUCGAUAAUACGCGAGGAACCUUACCUAGGCUAGAAUGCGAGUGACAUCCAGAGAGAUCUGGAGUUCUUCGGACACAAAGCAAGGUGCUGCAUGGUUGUCGUCAGCUCGUGCCGUGAGGUGUUGGGUUAAGUCCCGCAACGAGCGCAACCCCUGUUUUUAGUUGCCAGCAAGUAAUGUUGGGGACUCUAGAAAGACUGCCUGCGUAAGCAGAGAGGAAGGAGGGGACGACGUCAAAUCAGCAUGGCCCUUAUGCCUAGGGCUACACACGUGCUACAAUGGCGUAUACAAAGGGUAGCGAACCAGUGAUGGUAAGCCAAUCUCUAAAAGUACGUCUCAGUUCGGAUUGAAGUCUGCAACUCGACUUCAUGAAGCUGGAAUCGCUAGUAAUCG
rnacentral:rRNA from 1 species